rnacentral:sRNA from 1 species
UCUUUCCCAAAGCUGGGCACUUGGUGGAAGAGGACAACCCUGUCCCAAUAGAGGAGGACCAGUCUUCUGUAAAGAGUGUACAAGUCACCGUGCUCCCCUGCUAGAUCCUCCGGACAAACACUCAGGGUGGAUCUCUCCCUCUUUCUCCCAUCAAGCAGACAAGAAAGUU